rnacentral:rRNA from 1 species
AGUCGAGGGGCAGCAUGAACUUAGCUUGCUAAGUUUGAUGGCGACCGGCGCACGGGUGAGUAACACGUAUCCAACCUUCCGUUUACUCAGGGAUAGCCUUUCGAAAGAAAGAUUAAUACCUGAUAGUAUGGUGAGAUUGCAUGAUAACACCAUUAAAGAUUUAUUGGUAAACGAUGGGGAUGCGUUCCAUUAGGUAGUAGGCGGGGUAACGGCCCACCUAGCCUGCGAUGGAUAGGGGUUCUGAGAGGAAGGUCCCCCACAUUGGAACUGAGACACGGUCCAAACUCCUACGGGAGGCAGCAGUGAGGAAUAUUGGUCAAUGGGCGAGAGCCUGAACCAGCCAAGUAGCGUGAAGGAUGAAGGUCCUACGGAUUGUAAACUUCUUUUAUACGGGAAUAAAGUUUCCUACGUGUAGGAUUUUGUAUGUACCGUAUGAAUAAGCAUCGGCUAACUCCGUGCCAGCAGCCGCGGUAAUACGGAGGAUGCGAGCGUUAUCCGGAUUUAUUGGGUUUAAAGGGAGCGCAGACGGGAGAUUAAGUCAGUUGUGAAAGUUUGCGGCUCAACCGUAAAAUUGCAGUUGAUACUGGUUUCCUUGAGUGCAGUUGAGGCAGGCGGAAUUCGUGGUGUAGCGGUGAAAUGCUUAGAUAUCACGAAGAA